ACUUCAGACAGACGCUCAUGAUUCUCAUCCGGACUGUAAUCAGUGUGACACACCUAAGAUGGCUGCUUACAGGAGUGUGUGGGGUUUAGCUCACUAGCUCUGAUUUCUGUUCUGUGUUUAGUUACUGCUCUGGUUUGCGUCGUGUGUGUGUGAGUGUGUGUGAGUGUGUGUGAGAGAGAGGGUGUGUGUGGUGUGUGUGAGUGUGACUGUGGUCAUGGCGGCUGUUCGAGGGGUUUAUCGGUCUGUCCGUCUGCUGCUGGGACAAAAACACACCGAGACACGGAGCUGGAACAUCACAGUGAGGAGUUGGAGCGGAGCUGCAGCUGAUCCUGCGCCAGAGAUCGAUCAGAACGAAGACGUUAAUCAGACGUUUGUGAACCGAAACCCGAGAAAUCUGGAGCAGAUGUCCAUCGCUGUAAAGGACAGAGGCUGGAGCACCGUCUGGCCCAAGAGAGAAUACUACCACAGGUUGGUGUUGAAGCGCUCGCAGCAUCACGUGUCAGCUGCGGUGUUUUCCAGAGACUCGGACGUCCCCGUGCUCACGUGUUCCACACAGGAGUGGGCUCUGAAGAAGCAGCUGAGCUCCACUCACUGUGUGUCUGCGUGUCGCGCCGUGGGAGAUGUUCUGGCUCAGCGAUGCUGCGAGGCCGGAAUCACACGACUCUCUUACAGAGAGGUUCCCUGGACCUUCCGCUCCGACGCCGUGAGUCUCCUCCCCCUGGAUUCUCCUUCUUCACACUGAUGUAUCGUUACAGCACAAAACAUCUACAGAAAUAACCACUAAUCACAGACAGUGUGAGAGAAAAUCAAGUCCAGACGUUUUGGACGGCAAUGAAAGAAGGCGGCGUUUUGCUCAGCGAACCCAAACGCAAAUUUAUUUAAUAUAUAUUUUGUUCUUUCAGAAUCGACUUGAAGCGUUGAAUAAAAAUUCUGGUGUAAUUACAAAUGAA